UGCACUGUGGCCUAGACCUCCUUGCCCUUCC
rnacentral:piRNA from 1 species